UACGUAGGGUGCGAGCGUUAAUCGGAAUUACUGGGCGUAAAGCGCGUUCAGGCGGUUUGGCAAGUCGGGCAUGAAAUCUCUCGGCUCAACCGGGAGAGGUUGUCCGAUACUGCUGGACUUGAGGGCAGUAGAGGGUGGUGGAAUUCCGGGUGUAGUGGUGAAAUGCGUAGAUAUCCGGAGGAACACCAGUGGCGAAAGCGGCCACCUGGACUGCACCUGACGCUGACACGCGAAAGCUAGGGGAGCGAACGGG
rnacentral:rRNA from 1 species